CACACACACCCACACACCCCUCCAGACAUGCUUGGACCAUCAGGAAAGGAAUCUUCCCAUCUAUUUUAUGGGAUACAAAAAUCUGGGGAGACUUCUGAAUAGGUUCUUCCUGGUGACAACAGACAAGAAGAAUGAUGACAGGAGCUCCAAAUGAUUUCUCAGGAUUUUGAGGAGGCUGGAAUCUUAUCGGUCAUGGGGACACCACUGCAAACACUGACUAAGAAAGAUUUGCUUCAAGUCAACUGACUUUAACUAUCUGCAGAUUAGUGGAAUUCAGCAGGAAAAAGUGAAAGUGUGAUUAUUCUUUGUCACAAGGAAAAACCCAAGAGUCUUGCGGCAUCAUA